UUUCUCCUGCUGCUCCAUCAAAUCUAUCUUUUAUUUCUUCUCUCCAUUGCUCGUCUUCAACCUUUGAAAUACUAUUUUUACUUUUUAAUUUCUUUAACGUAACACCUAUCCACCUUUUUACUUCCCUUAUUUCCCAUAUUAUUUUUCUGUCACCUCUGCAUUUAAACAUAAACGUGAUUCUAGAACACAAAAUGAACCAUCUUUUACAAUAUUUCCUUUCAAAAAUUUUUCGUGGGCUUAAAGUUGAUAGCCCCCUUUUGUUUAAGCCUUAGGCUAUCCACUGAGCCAAGCUUCAUAGAAUUAUGGGGAAUUUGGCCCUUUACCCCUGUUGGAGUCCUCCUAACGAUAUCUACCCACUCGAUUCUAAAUCUUUUUGUUUUACCCUUUUAUUUUUUAAUAUUCCUAUAGUACCCUUUUGAGAUAUUAAAAACAAAUUAAACGAAAAGUCCAUUGUUCUCUUCUCUGUUUUUUUUUUCUUUCACUUCCCUUCGAGUUAUACUCCUUCAAAAUCUUCACCGGCUCUUCUCUUCUCCUUCCUCACCCUUCCCCUAGAAACACUAGAUUUAGAGUUAGGGUUUGAGUUUUGAAUUUCCCAUUCAAACUUAAUUGACGACGGUGUCUAAGUAUUCAAAUGUGUGAGCAUUAGACACUGAACUGAAGCGGUCAAAUCCCAAACAAAAUAAAAACAGAGAGAGAGAGGAAACGAUGAAGUAAUGGCAAGCAAGGAAGAGAGCGCAGUGAAGGAGACUGCUCUUGCCAAUCUUAUUGUAAGCUUUUUUUUGUCAUAGCUUAAAAAAAUGACCCACUGUGUUUUCAAUUUUGUUUUCAGUUAGGUAUUUACGCUAAUCUGAUCAUAUACCAAGAUAAUUCCUUGCAAGCAGUAAUGUCAAACAAUGAAGGUGGUCGAAGACUUAUUAGGGUGGAUAUUGUUAAUUGAGGAUUUCAAUAUUUGACCCUCGUCCUGGAAUGGAUGGCAGUGAUGAGAAUUCAAUUGUAAAGUGGGUAAAGAUGGGUGCAUCACUUCACAGGUCUUCGAAAGGACAGGCAAUAGGGUUAAAACCUCCAUACCUUAUGGACCUAUUGCAUCUAUGCAUCUAGGAAGGUAUGAGUUGCACCUUCCUUUUUAUCCUCAUUCUGACUGAAUAUUCUGAAAUGUUUAGUUUUACCUUUUCUCAUUUCACUGUCCUAUCGUAGGCAUGCUCUUGUUUCUUCAAAGACAGAAUUCCAAGAAAGUAUAUACGUAACAUCUUGAGAGAGAAGCCUUACUCGGCAGUUCUAGCUCUAAACAUACUUGGACGAUAGUUAAGUUGCAUACCAGUUUUGUGAUUUGUCAGAGGGCCAUAUUUUUUAAUGCUUUUAUUUGAUUUCUCUUACAUCGUUGCAAUAGAACCAUCCAAUGGUUUUCAAUCUCUUAUACUAAUGGACAACUUCAUUUCCAUUUUAGACUGAUGGUGGUAUAAAAAAUCCCUUAGAAGAUGAAAUUAGGGACACACCCCGUGGAGAACUACUCUAUUUCUAUUAUUUUAUACUUUUGGCAUGGUCAAAUGGAGAAAUUAUGUGUCAAUUAUAAGAAUUUACUCGUGCCAGCUGUGAAUUUGACAAAAUGACAGCUGUUGAAUUUUUUUUUUUUUACAAGUGGGAUUCCUUCUAGUAAUUUUCACGUUGUACCUGACCAGAAGAAUAUACGUGCUUGCUUUUAUGUGAUUAUGAUCAAUUAUUUGAACAUGCUACCUGAUAUAAUUUUUUUUGGUGGUAGAUGGGUGGAUAAAAUCCUUGAGGCAUUAAGAGGAUAUGACCACUAGAGGACUGGCUGUUAAUUGUUUAGGUGAAAAAAGCAGUUGCUUGUUUUUAUUCCUUAAAUUUAAAAUGAGCUCUCCUCGGUUUCCUCCAAAUGCAGGUAUCUGAGAUGAUGUGAGAGGUGUAGAAUAAGGCAGCAACACAAACAUGGAAAAGUUUGAAGUUUCUAUUUAACGUGAUUGCAUGCCAGCAGCAAUACAAUAUGUUGGAAUGUUUAACAUCCUGAACAGCUCAUAUCUGGUAGCUAGAUCAUUCUUUUGAAGUUAGUGAAGAGUAAUAAUUUUAUGGAAAGCCAGCUUUCCUACUUGUAUAUAUGUUUAUAAUUCUCCAAAGAUGAAGUUUUGAUAAUGACCCUACAUCUUUUUUACUGUGCCUUAACAAUGAGUUGUUACCACUCUUAGUAAAAUAAUGAACACUAGUGUAGUUAUGAUUCAUGUCCAAGUAGUAUUUGUUCCUUUUCAAUGAUGUUAUUGUAUAAUACUUCUGUACAUUGUAAGCAAAUAAUGGAAGCUCACUUUAAUAUGUUUUCUAUAUUAUACUUA